GGACCGGUAGUUCAGUUGGUUAGAGCGCCGGCCUGUCACGCCGGAGGUCGCGGGUUCGAGUCCCGUCCGGUCCGCCA
rnacentral:tRNA from 1 species